UAACUGUGACAUCAACGGAGCGUCAUGUAAGAGCAGGGACGAGACAGGGAGAAGGAACAAAGGGGCACUGUGAGCAGCCGAGAGAGGACCAUAUGAAUAAGAAAACAUCAUUAGACCAACAGCUAUUCCUCCUUCGCAGCCUAACCAAGGUACUAAGUUACAGCCUAGCAUGGAUUUAGAAAUCAGUAGAAGCUUGCAGGAAGAGUUAUUAACUAAUGGGCUGGGGAUGACAUCUUCUAUGCUUUUGUGGUCCCUUAUUAGCUAUUUAAGAGAAAAUCAAUUCAGAGGUAAGAAACUUAAGGUCAUAGAGACAGACAAGGGAAAAGGACAAGAUUCAGGAGUGUCUGACUGUUGCUUUGAUCUUCACCACUAUACUAUGCAGCUGGUGUCCAGACUAAUCAAAUACAUGAAAAGUUACAUUCAGAUCUUACGGAUAUAUACUCAGAGAACCAGUGCUAUAAUAAAAUAAAACAAGAAGACAUGACAGUCAAAAGUGAGCAGCUUAGUGUUUAUCACGAGGGUUCCCCAGGGCCUCCCAUCACCCUGAAGGGUUUAAGCAGAAAUGCAAGACCACAUGUCUACUUUAAAGAGAUGACUACUUAGUGGAGAAUGAACUUGAAGGGGUCAAAGCUGAAGCCAGAGAAAUGAGAGGUAUUCAUGCGUAAGUGCAGGUCUAAGGAGAAAAUGGAGUGGAGGGGACAAAUUCAACAGCCAUAUCAGAUAAAAUGAGAGAACCUUGUUAAAUGACCAUACAUGAAAAAAGAAUGACUCAAGGAGGAAAUCUGUCAACAGGGAAUUCACAUUAAGGAUUUCACCUCAGUUAAAGCCAGAGCCACU